UUAUUAUUUACAUUAAUAAUUAAUUUGUGCAAUUCAGAUGAGUUUGAUUAAAUAUUUUGUUAUUUUUAUUUUUAUUAUUGUUAUUUUUAUAAAAAUAAUUUUAUUCUCAGUAUAUUUUAUUGAAAUAUUUUUUUUAAUUAUAGUUUAUAAGUAUCGUGAGAGAAUUAUUUUAUUUUUUUAUAACAAUUUUUUAAUUUAAGUACCUUUUGCAUCAGGGUUUAUUAAAUAUUUAUUAAUUAUUUUAUUUUUCCCGAAAUUAUAAGAUUUAUAUUUAUAUGAUUGUUGAUGUUUUAAAUUCAUAUUAAAUAUAAAUAUAGUGGUUAUAUGCUAUUCAUUUAUUAAUAUAUCUAGUUAUUUAAUAAUCUUAUUUAAUAAGGAAGUAUAAUCUUUAGUAUUAAUAUUUUAUUUUUAUUAUUUUAUAUUUUUAAUCAAUAAAGGAUAAGCUUUUUUGAUUUUAUAUAACUAUAAAUAUAUUUAAGUUUAGUAGGAUUAGAAACUUCCAUCAUUAAUUUCGUUAUAGUUUAACUUGAAUUUGUUUUUAUUUAUUUUUUGUUUAUUUUAUUAUUAAAUUAAAUUAAUUAAUUUAUUAUUAUUUAUAAUAAUGAUAAAAUUAGUAUUUUUUAAAAUUAAAUUAUAGUAACUCGGCAAUUUUAAUUUUCACCUGUUUAUCAAAAACAUGUCUUUUUGUUUUUAUAUAAAGUCUAGUCUGCUCUAUGAUUAUUAUUAAAUGGCCGCAGUAUUUUAACUGUGCAAAGGUAGCAUGAUCAUUUGCCUUUUAAUUAAAGGCUUGUAUGAAUGGCUGGAUGAGAAAUUAACUUUCUUUAUUUAAUUUUAAAAAACUUUAUUUUUUAGUUAAAAAGCUAAAAUUUUAUUAUUAGACGAGAAGACC
rnacentral:rRNA from 1 species